rnacentral:lncRNA from 1 species
CACAGAAACAGCUGGAUUAUCAUUUGAUUGAGUAACUGGGGGCUAUAGCCUAGCCAAGUUAACAUAUCAAAGUCACUGCAGAUGGAAAGCUUACCUGAGGAGCUGGGAUUUAAAGAAUGAGCAGAAGAUACUUGAGUAAAGAAGAUGAAGAGAUUUCCAGGCAAUGAAAGACACUUACCAAGGCCAGGGAGGCUGGAACACAGAAAGUGACAGGGAACGUGGCAAAAGACUAUGCUAAAGCAGUUGGCAGGAGCUAGCACUCUGAAAACAACAUUAAGAACUCUCUUUGGUCUUUAUCCUAAGAGCAACGGAAGACCUGGCAACACUAGUUUGGGGAAAUUUAUUGAACUAUCAAAAGUCAAAAAAGCCCACAGCACAGCAUCAUGAUAAAGACG